AGUGAACGCUGGCGGCGUGCCUAAUACAUGCAAGUCGAACGGAGUGGCGCACGGGUGAGUAAUGUAUAGCUAAUCUGCCCUACACUAGAGGACAACAGUUGGAAACGUCUGCUAAUACUCUAUAGUGUAGGAUGAGGCUAUAUUGUAUCAGCUAGUUGGUGAGGUAAUGGCUCACCAAGGCUAUGACGCAUAACUGGUCUGAGAGGAUGAUCAGUCAAAUGGGAACGGAGACACGGUCGAGGCACCGAGGAGAGGCGGCAGUAGGGAAAUUUACCCAAGGGGGGAAACCCAAAAGGGGCAGCGCGGCGGAAAGGAUGACACGUUUCGAAGAAGAAGCUCAUUUGAUUAAGGAAACGGUACCUAACGAAUAAGCACCGGCUAACUCCGUGCCAGCAGCCGCGGUAAUAC
rnacentral:rRNA from 1 species